rnacentral:rRNA from 1 species
UUUCGAGCUCCGGCUCGACUCUCCCACCCUUUGUGAACGUACCUCUGUUGCUUUGGCGGCUCCGGCCGCCAAAGGACCUUCAAACUCCAGUCAGUAAACGCAGACGUCUGAUAAACAAGUUAAUAAACUAAAACUUUCAACAACGGAUCUCUUGGUUCUGGCAUCGAUGAAGAACGCAGCGAAAUGCGAUAAGUAAUGUGAAUUGCAGAAUUCAGUGAAUCAUCGAAUCUUUGAACGCACAUUGCGCCCCUUGGUAUUCCGGGGGGCAUGCCUGUUCGAGCGUCAUUACAACCCUCAAGCUCUGCUUGGAAUUGGGCACCGUCCUCACUGCGGACGCGCCUCAAAGACCUCGGCGGUGGCUGUUCAGCCCUCAAGCGUAGUAGAAUACACCUCGCUUUGGAGCGGUUGGCGUCGCCCGCCGGACGAACCUUCUGAACUUUUCUCAAGGUGACCUCGGAUCAGGUAGG